rnacentral:rRNA from 1 species
CGUCCGCAUUGUAAUCUCAAGAAGUGUUUUCCGCUUCGGACCAAGCCUAAGUCCCCUGGAAAGGGGCAUCAUAGAGGGUGAUAAUCCCGUACAUGGCUUGGAGCGCCCGAGGCUUUGUGAUACGCUUUCUAAGAGUCGAGUUGUUUGGGAAUGCAGCUCAAAAUGGGUGGUAAAUGCCAUCUAAGGCUAAAUAUUGGGGAGAGACCGAUAGCGAACAAGUACAGUGAUGGAAAGAUGAAAAGAACUUUGAAAAGAGAGUUAAACAGUACGUGAAAUUGCCAAAAGGGAAGGGUAGGAGGUCAGAGAUGCGGCCUGGGAUUCAGCCUUGCUUUUGCUUGGUGUUUUUCCCAGAUUGCAGGCCAACGUCGGUUUUGGGCACUGGAGAAGGGUAGGAGGAACGUGGCACCCCUCGGGGUGUGUUAUAGCCUCCUACUGGAUACAGCGACCGAGACCGAGGACAGCAGCGUACUCGCAAGAGCGGGCCUUCGGGCACCUUUACGCUUAGGGCGUUGGCAUAAUGGCCCUCUACCACCCGUCUU